GAGUUUGAUCAUGGCUCAGAUUCAAUGCUGGCGGAAUGCUUUACACAUGCAAGUCGAACGGCAGCAUAGAGAGCUUGCUCUCUGAUGGCGAGUGGCGAACGGGUGAGUAAUAUAUCGGAACGUGCCUAGUAAUGGGGAAUAACUAGCUGAAAGGUUAGCUAAUGCCGCAUACGACCUACGGGCGAAAGCAGGGGAUCUUCGGACCUUGCGUUAUUAGAGCGGCCGAUAUCUGAUUAGCUUGUUGGUGGGGUAAUGGCCUACCAAGGCGACGAUCAGUAGCUGGUCUGAGAGGACGAUCAGCCACACUGGAACUGAGACACGGUCCAGACUCCUACGGGAGGCAGCAGUGGGGAAUUUUGGACAAUGGGGGCAACCCUGAUCCAGCCAUUCCGCGUGAGUGAAGAAGGCCUUCGGGUUGUAAAGCUCUUUCGCAAGAGAAGAAAACUUGCUAUCUAAUAAAUAGUAAGUAUGACGGUAUCUUGACAAGAAGCACCGGCUAACUACGUGCCAGCAGCCGCGGUAAUACGUAGGGUGCAAGCGUUAAUCGGAAUUACUGGGCGUAAAGCGUGCGCAGGCAGUUUUAUAAGUCAGAUGUGAAAUCCCCGAGCUCAACUUGGGAACUGCGUUUGAAACUGUAAGACUAGAGUGUGUCAGAGGGGGGUAGAAUUCCAAGUGUAGCAGUGAAAUGCGUAGAGAUUUGGAGGAAUACCAAUGGCGAAGGCAGCCCCCUGGGAUAACACUGACGCUCAUGCACGAAAGCGUGGGGAGCAAACAGGAUUAGAUACCCUGGUAGUCCACGCCCUAAACGAUGUCUACUAGUUGUUGGUGGAGUAAAAUCCAUGAGUAACGCAGCUAACGCGUGAAGUAGACCGCCUGGGGAGUACGGUCGCAAGAUUAAAACUCAAAUGAAUUGACGGGGGCCCGCACAAGCGGUGGAUUAUGUGGAUUAAUUCGAUGCAACGCGAAAAACCUUACCUGGCCUUGACAUGUACCGAAUUUAGCAGAGAUGCUUUAGUGCUCGAAAGAGAACGGUAACACAGGUGCUGCAUGGCUGUCGUCAGCUCGUGUCGUGAGAUGUUGGGUUAAGUCCCGCAACGAGCGCAACCCUCACUUUUAGUUGCCAUCAUUAAGUUGGGCACUCUGAAAGAACUGCCAGUGAUAAGCUGGAGGAAGGUGGGGAUGACGUCAAGUCCUCAUGGCCCUUACGUGUUGGGCUACACACGUGCUACAAUGGCAUCUACAACAGGAAGCAAAACGGCAACGUUAAGCAAAUCCCAAAAAGAUGCCUCAGUUCGGAUUGCACUCUGCAACUCGAGUGCAUGAAGCUGGAAUUACUAGUAAUCGUGGAUCAGCGUGCCACGGUGAAUGCGUUCCCGGGUCUUGUACACACCGCCCGUCACACCAUGGGAGUUGGUUCUACCUUAAGGCAAGGUUUCAAACCCUUGACCACGGUAUAGUCAGCGACUGGGGUGAAGUCGUAACAAGGUAACC
rnacentral:rRNA from 1 species